UACGUAGGGGUGCAAGCGUUAAAUCGGAAUUACUGGGGCGUAAAGCGUGCGCAGGCGGUUGUGCAAGACAGAUGUGAAAAUCCCCGGGCUCAACCUGGGAACUGCAUUUGUGACUGCACGGCUAGAGUGCGGCAGAGGGAGAUGGAAUUCCGCGUGUAGCAGUGAAAUGCGUAGAUAUGCGGAGGAACACCUAUGGCGAAGGCAGCUCUCUGGGACGGUACUGACGCUGAGACGCGAAAGCGUGGGGAGCGAACAGG
rnacentral:rRNA from 1 species